AGUGAACGCUGGCGGUAGGCCUAACACAUGCAAGUCGAACGGCAGCACAGUAAGAGCUUGCUCUUACGGGUGGCGAGUGGCGGACGGGUGAGGAAUACAUCGGAAUCUACUUUUUCGUGGGGGAUAACGUAGGGAAACUUACGCUAAUACCGCAUACGACCUACGGGUGAAAGCAGUGGAUCUUCGGACCUUGCGCGAUUGAAUGAGCCGAUGUCGGAUUAGCUAGUUGGCGGGGUAAAGGCCCACCAAGGCGACGAUCCGUAGCUGGUCUGAGAGGAUGAUCGGCCACACUGGAACUGAGACACGGUCCAGACUCCUACGGGAGGCAGCAGUGGGGAAUAUUGGGCAAUGGGCGCAAGCCUGAUCCAGCCGUACCGCGUGGGUGAAGAAGGCCUUCGGGUUGUAAAGCCCUUUUGUUGGGAAAGAAAAGCAGCAGGUUAAUACCCCGCUGUUCUGACGGUACCCAAAGAAUAAGCACCGGCUAACUUCGUG
rnacentral:rRNA from 1 species